GACACACCAGAAGAGGGUGUCAGAUCUCAUUAUGGACGGUUGUGAGCCACCAUGUCGUUGCUUGGAUUUGAACUCAGGACCUUUGGAAGAGCAGUCAGGGCCCCAGGGACACUGAGAGAUCACUCCCGCUGAGGACAACCUACCUGAGAAGCCAUUAGAUCUGGUCCAGUGAGGUGCAUGGAGUCAGAAGCAGACACAGGGUUAUUUGUGUUUCUCGUGAUCCGGCACAAGAAGACCACCAUCUUCACUGAUGCCAAGGAGUCAAGCACAGUGUGGGAGCUCAAGCGCAUCAUUGAGGGCAUCAUGAAGAGGCCUCCUGAGGAGCAGUUGCUGUUCAAGGACAACCAGCUCCUUGAUGAGAAUAAAACUCUGAGGGAAUGUGGCUUCACUAGUCAGGUAGCAAGGCCAGAGACCCCAGCCACAGUGGGCCUGGCCUUCAGAACAGGAGAUGUCUUUGAAGGCCUGGAGAUCCACCCCUAAUCUUUUCCUCCACCUCUUCCAGACAUGAGGAAGGAUUCUGGAAACAGUGCUAAGGAACAAGAUGCGCAGUGAGGGCCCCACGGCCAACUCCUAGAGACCUAGAGACCCAUUCUCUAGUUAAAAAUAAAUAAGUAAAUUGGCUGUCUUUUUAAAUUAAAAAAAAAAAAGCCCAAAA